rnacentral:lncRNA from 1 species
UUCAGCUUGUAACUAUGUAGCUGGCUGAAGUUUUCCUUCUGUGCACGGAAGUGUCUUGUGCUUUACUGAAUAAAUGGCUUGUAUAUGAACUUAUAUUUCUCUGUCUUGAGGAAGCAGGAAACUGCUUCCACAGUUUGGCGACGAGGAUGGGAUGACAGCCUUCAUCCGAGGGAGAAGGGUUCGGCCUGGUUGUGAGUGAAUGCUGAUGAAGCCAAAGGUGAGAAAUCCCUGCAGGAACACAUGUUUCUCCCAGGCAGACGAGCUCUCCACAGAAGGUUGCUCAGUCUCGAACCGAAAAUUUGAAAGGUGCAGAUCUUUGGACCCUUGAUGGAGUUGGCAUGAUGUGGAUCACAUGUGCGCCCUUCAUUCACUCAGGAGGCGGCGUUAUGAACUCAAGUAAUAUGAAGCAAUGCAAUUUUACAUUUCCGAGCGACAGCACUUUUUCCUUGACAAGUGACAUGGCUUCAUUGCUCCGGAGGCUGAACAGGAGUAGCUGGAUUUUCAAUGUGGAGCAAUUUAUCCUUCGGAGCGGUUGAAGCAGCUGUACGUUGCCGAUACACCACCCAAAUAAAGGUGAUGUGGAAAGCUGAAAUUUCGUGUUUCGAUGGUCAUAGAACCUGCUACACCGGGAAAAAUUACAGAAUCAUUGGAAAGCAUCCACAGGGUAUUUCACGUAUUUCACAUUUUGACCAAGUAUUUCAUGGACCGGCUGGCCUGGCCCGACGGUCGACGGAACGUGGCUGGAGUUUGUGA